rnacentral:tRNA from 1 species
AAGUCCUGCGGUGUCAGACACGCCGAAUUGCAAAUCCGGAGAAGCAAAUGAGAGUUUGCCGGGGCUUC